rnacentral:rRNA from 1 species
AGCGAACGCUGGCGGCAGGCCUAACACAUGCAAGUCGAACGAUCCUUCGGGAUAGUGGCGGACGGGUGAGUAACACGUGGGAACGUGCCUUUUGGUUCGGAACAACUCAGGGAAACUUGAGCUAAUACCGGAUGUGCCCUUCGGGGGAAAGAUUUAUCGCCAUUAGAGCGGCCCGCGUCUGAUUAGCUAGUUGGUGGGGUAAAGGCCUACCAAGGCGGCGAUCAGUAGCUGGUCUGAGAGGAUGAUCAGCCACAUUGGGACUGAGACACGGCCCAAACUCCUACGGGAGGCAGCAGUGGGGAAUCUUGCGCAAUGGGCGAAAGCCUGACGCAGCCAUGCCGCGUGAAUGAUGAAGGUCUUAGGAUUGUAAAAUUCUUUCACCGGGGACGAUAAUGACGGUACCCGGAGAAGAAGCCCCGGCUAACUUCGUGCCAGCCGCCGCGGUAA